GACGAACGCUGGCGGCGUGCCUAAUACAUGCAAGUUGAGCGCUGAAGGUUGGUACUUGUACCGACUGGAUGAGCAGCGAACGGGUGAGUAACGCGUGGGGAAUCUGCCUUUGAGCGGGGGACAACAUUUGGAAACGAAUGCUAAUACCGCAUAAAAACUUUAAACACAAGUUUUAAGUUUGAAAGAUGCAAUUGCAUCACUCAAAGAUGAUCCCGCGUUGUAUUAGCUAGUUGGUGAGGUAAAGGCUCACCAAGGCGAUGAUACAUAGCCGACCUGAGAGGGGGAUCGGCCACAUUGGGACUGAGACACGGCCCAAACUCCUACGGGAGGCAGCAGGAGGGAAUCUUCGGCAAUGGACGAAAGUCUGACCGAGCAACGCCGCGUGAGUGAAGAAGGUUGUCGGAUCGUAAAACUCUGUUGGUAGAGAAGAACGUUGGUGAGAGUGGAAAGCUCAUCAAGUGACGGUAACUACACAGAAAGGGACGGCUAACUACGUG
rnacentral:rRNA from 1 species